GAGACACUUCUGUGGGGCAGGACUUGCUUCAGUGGGGCUUUGGUGCCCACUGAGUCUUCCCCUUGAGUGUAUUGCU
rfam:Myotis davidii contig164456, whole genome shotgun sequence.